UUAUACGGCGACUGCGAAUGGCUCAUUAUAUAAGUUAUCGUUUAUUUGAUAGCACCUUACUACUUGGAUAACCGUGGUAAUUCUAGAGCUAAUACAUGCUAAAAAUCCCGACUUCGGAAGGGAUGUAUUUAUUAGAUUAAAAACCAAUGCCCUCUGGGCUCUCUGGUGAUUCAUGAUAACUUCUCGAAUCGCAUGGCCUUGCGCCGGCGAUGGUUCAUUCAAAUUUCUUCCCUAUCAACUUUCGAUGUUUGGGUAGUGGCCAAACAUGGUUGCAACGGGUAACGGAGGGUUAGGGCUCGACCCCGGAGAAGGAGCCUGAGAAACGGCUACUACAUCCAAGGAAGGCAGCAGGCGCGCAAAUUACCCAAUCCCGACACGGGGAGGUAGUGACAAUAAAUACUGAUACAGGGCUCUUUUGGGUCUUGUAAUUGGAAUGAGUACAAUUUAAAUCCCUUAACGAGGAACAAUUGGAGGGCAAGUCUGGUGCCAGCAGCCGCGGUAAUUCCAGCUCCAAUAGCGUAUAUUAAAGUUGUUGUGGUUAAAAAGCUCGUAGUUGAACCUUGGGCCUGGCUGGCCGGUCCGCCUCACCGCGUGCACUGGUCCGGCCGGGCCUUUCCCUCUGUGGAACCCCAUGCCCUUCACUGGGUGUGGCGGGGAAACAGGACUUUUACUUUGAAAAAAUUAGAGUGCUCCAGGCAGGCCUAUGCUCGAAUACAUUAGCAUGGAAUAAUGAAAUAGGACGUGCGGUUCUAUUUUGUUGGUUUCUAGGACCGCCGUAAUGAUUAAUAGGGACAGUCGGGGGCAUCAGUAUUCAAUUGUCAGAGGUGAAAUUCUUGGAUUUAUUGAAGACUAACUACUGCGAAAGCAUUUGCCAAGGAUGUUUUCAUUAAUCAGGAACGAAAGUUAGGGAUCGAAGACGAUCAGAUACCGUCGUAGUCUUAACCAUAAACUAUGCCGACUAGGGAUCGGACGAUGUAUUUUUUUGACUCGUUCGGCACUUACGAGAAAUCAAGUGCUGGGCUCAGGGGAGUAUGUCGCAGCUGAACUAAGAAAUGACGAUGCAACACAGGGUGGAGCUGCCGCCUAACUGACUCACACGG
rnacentral:rRNA from 1 species